UACAGAGGUCUCAAGCGUUGUUCGGAUUCAUUGGGCGUAAAGGGUGCGUAGGCGGCGGGGUAAGUCUGAUGUGAAAUCCCGGGGCUCAACCCCGGAAUGGCAUUGGAUACUGCCUUGCUAGAGAACUGGAGAGGAGACUGGAAUUUACGGUGUAGCAGUGAAAUGCGUAGAGAUCGUAAGGAAGACCAGUGGCGAAGGCGAGUCUCUGGACAGUUCCUGACGCUGAGGCACGAAGGCCAGGGGAGCAAACGGG
rnacentral:rRNA from 1 species